rnacentral:ribozyme from 1 species
AAGAAGAGAGGUAUAAAAGCACCAAGUAAAAGAGUUCAAUCAAAUUUGUAAUAAGCAAGAGCGCUGGCUUCUCUUUGCACCCGAAACCUUUUGUGUCUUUCUUCUUUUUUGCCCUGUGUCUUUCUUCUCUUUCUGAAUCUUUUUUAUUUUU